CUGCUCACUCGAUCGUCGAUGUAACUGCAAUUCAUCCUUGCUUCUCACUCGAUCGUCCCACUCGAUCGUGUGCAUGUCGAGUAACGCUUGUUCCUCUGCUUCGCUCUGCAUGUCUCCUAAGUACCUGAAACACUCCAAAUAUGCACAAUGUAUGCAAGAUAUGCAUGAUAUGCAUGAUAUGCAUAAAACCUACCUAAGUAUGUAAAACAUGCAGAAAGGGAUCAAUAUGAUGCGAAUCAACAAGUGAAUGAUGCUGAAUAGAUGAUGAAUGCAUACUCAAAAAGCAAUGAAAUACAGACUUAUCA
rnacentral:lncRNA from 1 species